GACAGAGGGGGCAAGCGUUGCUCGGAAUCACUGGGCGUAAAGGGCGCGUAGGCGGGAUGGCAAGUCGGUCGUGAAAUCCUUCGGCUCAACCGAAGAACGUCGGCCGAUACUGCCGUUCUUGAGGGAUGCAGAGGAGAUUGGAAUUCCCGGUGUAGCGGUGAAAUGUGUAGAGAUCGGGAGGAACACCGGUGGCGAAGGCGGGGUC
rnacentral:rRNA from 1 species